AUGAACGCUGGCGGCGUGCCUAAUACCUGCAAGUCGAGCGAACAGAUGAGGAGCUUGCUCCUCUGACGUUAGCGGCGGACGGGUGAGUAACACGUGGAUAACCUACCUAUAAGACUGGGAUAACUUCGGGAAACCGGAGCUAAUACCGGAUAAUAUAUUGAACCGCAUGGUUCAAUAGUGAAAGACGGUUUUGCUGUCACUUAUAGCUGGAUCCGCGCCGCAUUAGCUAGUUGGUAAGGUAACGGCUUACCAAGGCAACGAUGCGUAGCCGACCUGAGAGGGUGAUCGGCCACACUGGAACUGAGACACGGUCCAGACUCCUACGGGAGGCAGCAGUAGGGAAUCUUCCGCAAUGGGCGAAAGCCUGACGGAGCAACGCCGCGUGAGUGAUGAAGGUCUUCGGAUCGUAAAACUCUGUUAUUAGGGAAGAACAAAUGUGUAAGUAACUAUGCACGUCUUGACGGUACCUAAUCAGAAAGCCACGGCUAACUACGUG
rnacentral:rRNA from 1 species